rnacentral:lncRNA from 1 species
UCAGAUCUUGAAGCUCUAAGUUGAAACCAUUGUUUCAUACUUGAGCUAUUUGGUCUUGAUUUGCACUCGGGGACCCUCUCUUAUGGUCGAUGUGCCGUUGAUAUUCCGUGACCUCCCGCAUUACCUGGUUAUUUCACAAGAACAACAAAGCAACCUCAGGAGCUAUUCCAUAGGACGAUGAUCAUGAUUCUAGGGCGGACCUGUGCCUUAGAGCCUAAAAAUGAAGUUUGAACUAGCUUAAUUAUGUUUUGAUUUCCGUACUCUCUUUCCAAGACAAUGUAACACCUUUGUUUAUAAAUAAAAUACAACUUGUAUGC